GUGCCCUUAGCUCAGUUGGAUAGAGCAGCCGCCUUCUAAGCGGCAGGUCGGUGGUUCGAAUCCACCAGGGCACGCCA
rnacentral:tRNA from 2 species